rnacentral:lncRNA from 1 species
CAGUUUCUCCUCUGACUGCUCCGAUAGAGUUCCCAAACGUCAGAGAAACGUAAAAGGGAUUGAAGCCUCUAUUUGGACUAUUUUCAUACGAUUCCUUUUUCUCUCUUCACGAUCAUCAUCUCCCAAAUCCCAACGGUCAAAGGGUGCGCAGUUGAAUUUCGAACAGCAUAUCCAAAUUUCACAACAAUCCAACGGUUAACAAAACCGGGAUCGUAGUUUUACCAAGACAGCUCUGG